GAAGGGCCAUAGCUUAGUGGUUAGAGCAUCUGCUUUGUAUGCAGAAGGUCCCAGGUUCAAUCCCUGACAUCUUCU
rnacentral:tRNA from 1 species